UUCCCUCACCCCCAAAUUUUACAGAUAGGGAAACUAGUCCCAACUCAUCAAAACUAGACCUUCCUUCCACCAAGAACAGGAGGAUACACAUUUGGCUCCUGGAAAAAGGUUGGAGACCAAAGACACAAGAAUAGAUUCUUCUAGCUUGAUAUGUGGCAACAGCAAAGCUCGAUGGUCGAAUAUCUCUCAGUUCAAUGGCCAAGCAUGUGUCACUCCCUUGCCCUUCUGCUCCCAAUGAAGCCAUUCAAGGAGCCUGCUGGAACACAGGAGUCAAAAAACGGAGACAGGUGAGCUUUAGGCAAAGUCAUCAUCACCAGAAGGAGCAUACAAUCAUCUCGACAGCCUUUGCCUUGAAUCCACUCACGUUGGCUGUACUAGGCUGCUACUUCCUUUUAAUGUCCUGCUUGCAACCUUUCCAUGUAAUGAAAACCCCCAAACCUUUCCUUGUAACCAAAAGCCCUCCAAGAUAUUUAAGCGAGUCAAUCGGCAUAGCAAGUACAUGUGAUGCUAUGUACCACAUUCCAGAUCCAUGGUUUCCACCUGUCCACUGAGAGAAGGAAGGUGAAGGAAAUUAAUUUUGAGUCUCCAAUCUUGUGAGUUUCAAAAGGUCGGAUAAUGAGACUCCAAGAGUCCAAGAGAUUGGGAGUUGGAGUCCAAGUUGGGUCUUGCAACCAGCUCAGCAGACACUUCAAGAUCCAAGAAUGAGCUUCAGGACCCAGCAGUGGAGAGGAGGACUUAUGGAGCAGUCAUCUGAAUGGGAACUUGGUGGGACUAAUGCUAUGUAGAAUCAUAUUAAGUUUGAGCCUGCUCUACUUAGAGACUGAAGUUAUGUAGGGGAGAGUGUGCCUCUGAGGUGUUGGGUGGGGGAAUAUUUGCACUUUUGUUUUUUUCUAAGCAAGUAUCUCUUUUGUAAAACCUAAUUGAUGUGAAUGGUUAAAUGGAACUGGGGUGCUAGUUAGUCACUGGUGGCUAAAAAUGGGGGGAAAAUAAUUAUGGGGGCUUGUGUUGAUGGAAUUAUAGAAGAGAUGCCUCAACCUUUUAGGGUUACUACUAGAAUGCACUUGGUACUGUCUUAAGGCAAACAGGGUGAAGUGACUUGCCCAGGGUCACACAGCUAGUAAGUAUCUGAGGCCAUAUUGGUUUUAGAGCUACUGGAUAGGACUAUGAGUAGAGAUAUGAUGAAGGUCACCAAUAAAUCUAUUAAUUAAUUAACAAACAU